AACGAACGCUGGCGGCAUGCCUAACACAUGCAAGUCGAACGAGACCUUCGGGUCUAGUGGCGCACGGGUGCGUAACGCGUGGGAACCUGCCUUUAGGUUCGGAAUAACUCAGAGAAAUUUGAGCUAAUACCGGAUGAUGUCUUCGGACCAAAGAUUUAUCGCCUUUAGAUGGGCCCGCGUUGGAUUAGCUAGUUGGUGGGGUAAAGGCCUACCAAGGCGACGAUCCAUAGCUGGUCUGAGAGGAUGAUCAGCCACACUGGGACUGAGACACGGCCCAGACUCCUACGGGAGGCAGCAGUGGGGAAUAUUGGACAAUGGGCGAAAGCCUGAUCCAGCAAUGCCGCGUGAGUAAUGAAGGCCUUAGGGUUGUAAAGCUCUUUUACCCGAGAUGAUAAUGACAGUAGCGGGAGAAUAAGCUCCGGCUAACUCCGUG
rnacentral:rRNA from 1 species